CCCAUAAAGGCUUUAAUAACAGGGCAGCUCACAGGGAGGAGGGUGAUCUCUAACCAGAUGGGCUCCAGAAGGCUUCAUGUGGAAAAUGACAUGUCGUCUAGGCCUUGAAAAAAUGGGGGAGAAGGAUAUUCCAAGAAGGAUCCAUAUGACAAAAGGCUUAAGAGUGAGAACUGCCAGUGAUUUCGUGGUGAAGCUUGGUGUGCAGGGGAAGUUGAAGGGAAAAGGAGGCAGAUAGACCUGGGAAUCUCUCCCAGAAAGGUGGAACACAAGUUCUCAGUAGCAUCCCGACUCUCAUGUGGGUCAUCUGCCCUUUGCUGCUGUUUCUUCCUACUCUCCUGAGGAUGUGAGAUGCAAAGAAGGGGACGAAGUAAGUGGAGGGACAUCGCUCACCAGUCUACACCAAUGAAGGGAAAAUGGGGAAACCAUGAACCUAAAUGAGAGGCAAGCUUUCUUAGCUCAGUGAACGGAGUAAGGUCCUGCUAACGAAUGAGGACGCCCUGGGUAAUCUUAGCUCUGUUCCUUCCAGCAAGUCCAUCUUCCGCAAGAUGGGCUUUAUUCUGAGAGCCAUUAAUAAUUUGGUGGCUAACAACUUCUUCCAAGAUCACAUGAUACCCCCACACUUCUCAGAUGUUUGAGAAUUUUAGAGAAACUCCUGCCUUAAAAAAUGUAAAAGAUACUGUCUUCCAUCACAAUAUAAGGUGUGUUUUCCCCUAGAUUUUGUCAUUACUUCUUCCAAGAGAAAACAACACUUUCAUUUGUAAUAUUCAAGAUUAUAUUCUUCAAUAAAAUGUCUGAGGUUGAAGUCA